AUACGGAGGGGGUUAGCGUUGUUCGGAAUUACUGGGCGUAAAGCGCACGUAGGCGGAUUGGAAAGUUGGGGGUGAAAUCCCAGGGCUCAACCCUGGAACUGCCUCCAAAACUAACAGUCUAGAGUUCGAGAGAGGUGAGUGGAAUUCCCAGUGUAGAGGUGAAAUUCGUAGAUAUUUGGAGGAACACCAGUGGCGAAGGCGGCUCACUGGCUCGGUACUGACGCUGAGGUGCGAAAGCGUGGGGAGCAAACAGGAUUAGAAACCCUAGUAGUCC
rnacentral:rRNA from 1 species